rnacentral:lncRNA from 1 species
UUUUCUCUUAGAGGUAUCAUUUCUUUCAAGAGACAGAGUAUAUAGUCUAGAUACACACUAGUGACAAUGAAAGAGAUCUUGGGAUUGUGAACAUGAUAGUAGCUUUUUACUACUAAGACUGGCUCCGAGAGAGUGGCGGGGACUGCGUCGGGCCAGGCAGCCUUCCAGAGAACGGAGAAUGUGGAGUCCUAAAACUUCCGUGUUUCCGCAAAGUCCGCAUGGAUCGGAUCAUUUUGUUAGCCCGGUGUCUGGCAUGCCGACUGCUGAGGAGGAGACUAAAGAGCGCGAGGGAACCCGGAUGAGAGUCACAAACAGCCGGGGGAGCAGUUAGUAAACCCGCGGAAGAACCCGGAAGCCUGGCUCCCAGAGCUGAGGGAUGAUCAGAAACGCACCAUCACAGUCCCCAAGACCAGAGAUAAGUAACAGGAGGAGACGGAGACAGAAAAGAAGCUCUCAGCUUCACGUAGUUGCCCUGAUUUCCUGAACUGUGAUCAGGAGAAAAGUAACGACCUUUAGCUGGAGCUUUGCCCAGGUGAACAGAAACUUUUCCUUAAGAAAUAUAAAGGUCGUCGUGUGACCAACGCUUGGAGAUCCUGAUCCUAUGGCAGCUUUUUUUCGUCUAUGAACUUAGACCAAAUUCUGCUGGCCAAAACAAAUACUGCAGUCACGUGAAAGUCACUGGGCCUACGGGUCCUUGGUGGUCAGCAGAACCUGAGCUUAACUCUGGUGGGAGACUAAGAGAAAGGCAGAGGUAUGGAGCUUUUCAGUUUUUUAAUAUGAAGAAAGGAGAGUGGGAGUAAGAAGGAAAAAAGAAAUGGGGUGCAUGCUUCCACUGAAGGAACAUUAAAAACCAUACCCAUCAGUGUAUGCAAAUUAACUUUUUUUGACUAUAUGAGAAAAAACAAAUGUAACAAAAUACUGACAAUGAAUCUACGUGAGGGGUAAUUGAGUGCUCAUUAUUUUAUUCUUUCGAGUUUUUUGUAAAAAUUUUUAAAAUAAAAAAUUGAGAAAAACAAGAAUGAAACAAAAGCCUCCACUCAGGCUUUUUUUUUUUUUUUAAUCAGAAGAUCCCAAUGUUACUAACUUUGAUGAGUUCAAACCGAAAUUUUUAA